UACGUAGGGUGCAAGCGUUUAUCCGGAAUUAUUGGGCGUAAAGAGCUCGUAGGCGGUUUGUCGCGUCUGCUGUGAAAACUGGAGGCUCAACCUCCAGCCUGCAGUGGGUACGGGCAGACUAGAGUGCGGUAGGGGAGACUGGAAUUCCUGGUGUAGCGGUGGAAUGCGCAGAUAUCAGGAGGAACACCGAUGGCGAAGGCAGAUCUCUGGGCCGUAACUGACGCUGGAGGAGCGAAAGCCAUGGGGAGCGAACAGG
rnacentral:rRNA from 1 species